AUCCAUGUGUCUUUGGGAUCUGCCGACUAUGGCAGUCUCCCUUCCUAGGCAUGGAAGAGCAUGUACUUGUUAUUGGCAAAGCUGUCACCAUUUAAUUGUGAUCAGAUUCUGACUUGAGCAAGUGACAUUC